rnacentral:rRNA from 1 species
GACGACCGCUGGCGGCGUGCCUAAUACAUGCAAGUAGAACGCAGUUGCGCACGGGUGUGUAUCGCGUAGGUAACUGCCUGCUAGCGCGGGAUAACUAUUGGAGACGAUAGCCAUUACCGCAUAACGUGAGAUGGACCUUCGUUGUAUUGGAUAGUUGGUGAGGUAAAGGCUCACCAGGGAGAGGAUACAUAGCCGACCUGAGAGGGUGAUCGGCCACCAUGGAACUGAUGCACGGCCCAGGAUGCUUCGGGAGGCAGCAGUAGGGAAUCUUCGGAAAUGGACGGAAGUCUGGCCGAGCAACGCCGCGUGAGUGAAGAAGGUUUUCGGAUCGUAAAGCUCUGUUGUUAGAGAAGCGGUAACUAACCAGAAAGGGACGGCUAACUACGUGCCAGCAGCCGCGGUAAUAC